rnacentral:rRNA from 1 species
UACGUAGGGUGCGAGCGUUGUCCGGAAUUAUUGGGCGUAAAGAGCUUGUAGGCGGUUUGUCGCGUCUGCUGUGAAAAUCCAGGGCUCAACCCUGGACCUGCAUUCGAUACGGGCAGACUAGAGUUCGGCAGGGGAGACUGGAAUUCCUGGUGUAGCGGUGAAAUGCGCAGAUAUCAGGAGGAACACCGGUGGCGAAGGCGGGUCUCUGGGCCGAUACUGACGCUGAGGAGCGAAAGCGUGGGGAGCGAACAGG